GUUGCCGCAAAAUCGGCAGCCGGGCGUGAGAACCCGUGUAACUCGAAGGCGACAUAUGACGCGCCAUGCGUCUUUUUU
rfam:Enterobius vermicularis genome assembly, scaffold: EVEC_contig0001418